GGUCAAUCACCAGAAAAAGAAGAUGCUUGCCCCGAUGCUAUUCAAACUUGAAUUUUGAAAUUCAAAAUUGCGAUGAUGAUGGUGAUACACACGAUGAUACACACAGUCACACAUAAUACAACUACGAUGAUGAUGAUUAACGAUAUGCAGAUGUUUGGAUGUUGCUGGACAGCCACCGUCAUUGUUUUUGUGAAAUCUUGGUUGUAUGAAUUUUUUUUUGUGAAGCAAGAAGCACAAAUUUAAGAUUUUAUUACAAUGUAAAGCAUUCUUCUGAAAGUCUACCACCUUCUGCUUCUCGGUUUCUUGAUUCCUUAUGAAUUUCCAAGUCUUCGGCUUCUUUUCAAGGUUCUUUCCUGCACAUAUAUUCACUUAAUAUUUUAUGUUCACUGUGUUUGUGUCAUAUGAGCUAUGCACUAAUAUUUUAUGUUCACUGUGUUUGUUAUUAUUUUUUGCAUAACAAAACCCUACCAAAUUUACUUUUGUAUAUUGUAUUUAUAGUUUUUUACAUGUUA